CCUACGGGCGGCAGCAGUCGAGAAUCAUUCACAAUGGGGGAAACCCUGAUGGUGCGACACCGCGUGGGGGAAUGAAGGUCUUCGGAUUGUAAACCCCUGUCAUGUGGGAGCAAAUUAAAAAGAUAGUACCACAAGAGGAAGAGACGGCUAACUCUGUGCCAGCAGCCGCGGUAAUACAGAGGUCUCAAGCGUUGUUCGGAAUCACUGGGCGUAAAGCGUGCGUAGGCUGUUUCGUAAGUCGUGUGUGAAAGGCGCGGGCUCAACCCGCGGACGGCACAUGAUACUGCGAGACUAGAGUAAUGGAGGGGGAACCGGAAUUCUCGGUGUAGCAGUGAAAUGCGGAGAUAUCGAGAGGAACACUCGUGGCGAAGGCGGGUUCCUGGACAUUAACUGACGCUGAGGCACGAAGGCCAGGGGAGCGAAAGGGAUUAGAUACCCCUGUAGUC
rnacentral:rRNA from 1 species